CUACGGAGGGUGCAAGCGUUAAUCGGAAUUACUGGGCGUAAAGCGUACGUAGGCGGUUCGUUAAGUUAGAUGUGAAAGCCCCGGGCUUAACCUGGGAACUGCAUUUAAAACUGGGUAACUAGAGUUUAGUAGAGGGGAGUGGAAUUUCAGGUGUAGCGGUGAAAUGCGUAGAGAUCUGAAGGAACACCAGUGGCGAAGGCGACUCCCUGGACUAAAACUGACGCUGAGGUACGAAAGCGUGGGUAGCAAACAGGAUUAGAAACCCCAGUAGUCC
rnacentral:rRNA from 1 species